rnacentral:rRNA from 1 species
UACGUAGGGAGCAAGCGUUGUCCGGAAUCAUUGGGCGUAAAGCGCGCGUAGGUGGCUUCGUAAGUCCGUUGUGAAAGUCAAAGGCUCAACCUUUGAAAGCCGAUGGAUACUGUGAAGCUAGAGUACGGAAGAGGCGAGUGGAAUUCCCAGUGUAGAGGUGAAAUUCGUAGAUAUUGGGAAGAACACCGGUGGCGAAGGCGGCCAACUGGACCACAACUGACGCUGAGGCGCGAAAGCGUGGGGAGCAAACAGG